UGCUUAUUGAUUGGCUGCGGUGGAUUAGGGUGGCUAUGUUGCUGCUGAGAUUGUGUGAGUGUGCAGUAUAUAUAUAUAUAUAUAUAUAUAUAUAAAUACAUGAGAGUUCAUGUGUGCUUGUAGAGCUAUGCUGGAGGUCUCUGAACUGACAACAAGCUCUCUCAACUCACGCCACCUAAUCCACCGCUCUCUUGCUUUAUCUCUCCCUACGUUUUCUUUUCUCUCUCCCAUCACCUCUCGCUAACUUCCCUUAGCCUCGCCGUCUUCGGUCCAGAAUGAUUUGGAUCCUAAUAGUCUUUUUACAGCCGGCGGCUAAUGUUGCCGUGGGGGAAUGUAACAGGGCCAUAACGAGACAAUCCCAUCCCAUAUGCAGAGGAUAUGAGAGGGAAUUUGUCUGCUUCAACAGUGACAGGAGCAAUCUGUACUGCGGGGCAGUUCCAAUGAAGAGCCCAUCGAAGAAAAAAACCCUCCGUGUAUUCAGGAUUAUGGUGUAGGAGCCCAUUGAAAAUCUAAUGGACUAGUCACAUCAAAUAGACUUGCUACGGCGCUUUGAACCUCAGUGCAUCGGUGGCUCUGUGGCUGCUGCUGUCACCUGCUAAUGUCACCGCUAAUGAUGUGAGGCUGGUUUUCCUUGAAAAGGCAUCACAGAGCCAGGACUCAAUCAUUCCAUUUAAGCAAAACAAAGUGCGACAGCGACAACUGUGAACCAGCCAAGAGAGAGAAGCGGCGUGGCUUUCGUCUGCAAAUCAUUUCGCUAACACCUUUGAAGUGGUGACAUGCCUCUGGAAAAUGUACCGAGAAGCUCCCGGUUUGUGGGAUGAAAGGGGAGUCAGACUCUUGUCAACUUUUGACCUCUAUAUGGCAGAGAUCAGUUGGGGUUUGGGCCAGCUGCUGCUCCAGACACUGCUGCAGUGCUUGAUAAACGACAGCGAGAGUUUUCUUCUACCUUAUUGAAUUGAGCUGAACUGUAGAGAAAAAGGAAAAGUAAACUGACUUAAAAUGAACUUGGAUGAACUGAACUGAACUCAAACAGAACUGAAUAACAUCAGGACAAAAAUCCAUUUACUGGGGAAUGAGAUGUUCAUUUCUACUGGGUCACAGGGGUCAGCUAUAGAGCAGCAACCAGGAAGGGUUUGUCUUGCUCAAGGACACUUCAGAGUGGAUUAUGGGUACAUGGAAACCCAGCUCUUGCAUGUAAAGGGUAGUUGACCCUGCUUCCCCUUCAAGUGACCUAACCCUAGUUGACACCGACCAGCUGCCAGGGCUGGUCAGUAUGGACUGCAGCUUAACUGAAGUGGGCUUUAUUGAAGUGCAGUGGUCAAGACGUGAUGAAGCACUAAGCUACAGAUCUAUUGCAAAUGUUAUCAAUCAUUUAGAGCGUCGACAUUCAGAAAACAUCCCCCAUAGAAGAAUCAAGCCAUUUUCUGGCCCAUAUAUGCCUGAAUAUUUAAGGGAGGGGGAUUUCUGGAUGGAUUUUUCUGACAAUCAGCUCCAGUUUGCAGAACUUGGGUCAGCUUUGGGCCGGUUUCAGGACUUGGACUCAGACUAUCAUACUUGAGCCAAUUCUGGGACAUCAUGCAUCGCUAGGCUCGAGUAGCCAUGUGCACAUCCACAAAACCAGGUGCUGGACAUCGGAACAAUCAAUGAGAAUACUAUGGAAAAGCACCUGCACACUGAAAUCAAAGCUCCUUUUUGCUUUUAUUAGCAACUUUUCAAAACAACACAGGUGUUCCCAAAAAAAAAAAAAAAAAAAAAAAGGAAAA